rnacentral:RNase_P_RNA from 1 species
UAGGAUGGGUACGCAAUCGCUUUGCUUGGAAGAAAGCAAAGAGGAAAGUCCGGACUUUACCACAUUGCUUUUUGCAAUGCGAAAACGGUAGCAGGCAAUCCCUGUCAAAUACAAAUUUAGAGGUGCGAACAGAGACGCCAAAAACAGAAAUGCUUUGGGUAUCCUUUUUAUAACAGGAUAAGUUUUGCAGCAAUGCAAAAAUGAAACGGCUAAAUCCUUACCGGAAAGCAAGGCGGAAAUUGCGCCGCUUGACUGUUAAGAGUGAUUUUAACAGCAGAGAAAUGAUUGCACUUUUAAUCUUUUUGAUUAGAAGACAGAAUCCGGUGUACCACCUGUCCUAAAUU